GGGUAAGCCACGAAAGUAGCUCGCGAGCAACUGAGGAGACAGAAAAAUGGGAACGAUGAUGCAUUCUGGAUAGUUGGAGUGUCGAGAAAACCGGAUAUUGGAUGACUUUUGAACGUUUUGAAGUCUCCUCGACGAGGGAGUGGAGAGCCGGACCAGAACACAUCAUCUCCUUUUCCAAGGGUGAUGAACGAGAUGUACUGAACCUCACUGAGGAAACAACACCGGCAGGAUUCAGCAGUGUGGUAGGACUGACUUUGGGUUGCAAUGAUUAUAAAUUUAUAAAAAAAAAUUUGCCCCCUCAGAGUUUUCAUGAAUGUUAACUAGAUCUAUUAAAGCUUAAAGGGCUUUCUGAUCAGUUUAUCUCUGCUGUCAAAUUGGCAUUUUUGACAUGUGAUUCGAUGAGGAUUAGCUCUCUUCUGGUGGAUGAGGGUGGAAAUGCAUUUUUUUUUUGCCUCUUCCUUGUUGGCUUCACUUUCAUACCAGAAUUAUGGGGGCUGUCGUGGUGGAAAUUAUUCCAUCUAACCACUCCCUGGUUCUUUGGAGGUGACCCUGAAGAGAGAUCCACACUUUAAGCUAGGGCUGGGCAAUAUGGCCUAAAACUAAUAUCACAAUAUAUUGAGGAUUUAACCUCAAUAAUGAUAAAUGGACCAUAACUGCAGGUAAGUUGUCCACUAGAUGGGGCUGUCACAUGUAUUAUAUUUAGUCACAUUUUUACGCAUCUCAAGGUGGUACAGCUUCUUAAAGGGACAUGAAUGUUGCCCAGCUACACACAUCUUUUCAUUUUUUUAUUAUCAAAUUUAUUGACAUGGGAAAAAUGAUCUCGAUAAGAGCCAGAAAUUUCGAUAACGAUACAUUUUCGAUUUAUUGCCCAGCCCUACUUUAAGCCCAUUAUAAUAUGUACACACACAAAGAUCUUUGGUUGGCUUCUGGUGAGAAGAACACAAGCAGUUCCCUGCCGAUGUAUCUUCUAACUUUCGACUCUUCUCGUCAGCCCUUUUAUUGAAUUGCAUGAAAAUUUUUUUUAAUUUUACAACAGUUCCACAAUAGACUGGGGCGUUCCCACUUCACAGUCAUACACUACUCCUCCUCAUGUGAGCGGUCUUCAUGAGUUCACAGUCUAAAGCACCUUCUGACUUUCCCUGACCCUCAACAUCCAAGACUUUUUCUAAGACUGAACUUGUGAUCUCUGGCUCAGCAACGAGGUCAAAAGUUUAUCAAUCAGACACUUCCCCAUGACAUAACUCGUGAUCUUCUUUUGACCACAAGCAGUAAGAGUCAGGCCAUUGUUAUAGAAACUUUCAACACCAAUGUUUUCUGGAACGUUAUCUCUGUUAGUCUGCAGCACUUCGACAAAGUUUUAUUUCCUUAUAUAUGAAGAUUAAAUGAUUGACCAACACAUUCAUAACCUGACAGCAAUUAGACUGAAGUUGACUAUAUUAGUUUAAACAGAAAAGGUUAUAUUGGUUAAGUGUAAAAAUGAUUAUUCUCAAAAAGAUUAUAUUGAUUAGCUUUAAAAAUGAUUAUGCUGAUUAGGGCUGCAAUGAUUCCUCGAGUAACUCGAAUGAUUCGCUGACAAAAUAUAUUCGAGAAUUUUCCGCUGCCUCGAGGACUCGUUAAAUAGACCAUAGCUGAAUAUCCGGCAUUGCGCAUGGAUUCUUUAUGUGUUGCGCAACGUGGUUACGUCACAGAUUAUACGUGCCAUGUACUCUACUGCACAGCGCGCAGCGGUCUUUUCGUCUUUUCAGCUGGGUAGCCGACAAUGGCAGACGCCAUGGAAAUAAAUGAAAACGAGCAAGACCAAAACGAAGGAUAUAGUAAGCGACAGAAGUUUUCCAAGGCAUGGGAUCACUUUACAUUAAAAAGCAAGGAAAACGCCAUUGUAUGCAAGCAUUGCAAGGUGGAGCUACCACAACAGCACUUCUUCCAUGCUGCU